rnacentral:tRNA from 1 species
UGGGGUAUGGCCAAGAGGUUUAAGGCACCGGUUUUUGAUACCGGGAUCCCUGGUUCGAAUCCAGGUACCCCAG